AGAAAGAUGAUUUUCCGCCAGAAUAAGAAUAAGAAGUGCAUUAUGCUCAUUCAUCAUAUCACAUAUGGUAGAAAUUGGUCCAAAAAAUUCAUUCCCAGCCACAUCUAGUGAUACCAUGUUGGGAGGAAAGUGAGGCAAGUAACCACUGAAUACAUUUUCAAUCAAAUGCAAUGUUAUCAAACUUGCUUUUGAUGAUAAAUCUGGUAAUUCCCCUCCAAGCCUAUUAAAAGAAAGAUCCAAAAUCUGCAUUGCUGGAGAAAGAUCCCAAAACCAGUCAGGUACAGUGUCAGAAAUGCUUGAAUUAGAUAAAUCAAUGUUCACAAUUUUUGUUUGGUUUUGAAGCCACUG
rnacentral:misc_RNA from 1 species